rnacentral:misc_RNA from 1 species
GUUGGAAUUGCCGGGCAGCUUUCGGAUGCAGAAUCUAUGAUUGCACUAAAAGAUCUCUUGAACAGAUUGGGGUCGAAUAAUGUAUCAUGUGAAGGAAAUGGUAUAAGCCCUCAAGCUGAUCUCCGGUCAAGUUAUCUUCUGAAUACAAGUAUAUCUGGGCUUGAAAAGGCUGAUGCAUUUCUCAUAAUUGGUAGCCAGCCCAGGGUCGAGGCGCCAAUGGUAAAUGCAAGAAUCCGGAAAACUGUGGCAGCAAACAAAGCGAAGGUAGCCUAUAUUGGCCCUUCCACAGAGUUCAAUUAUGACCACCAACAUCUUGGCACAGGCCCCCAGACCCUUCUUGAGAUCGCUGAGGGUCGCCACCCUUUCUGCUCGACUCUCCUGUCUGCGAAGAACCCUGCAAUCAUUGUCGGGGCUGGGGUAUUCGAGCGGAA